UACGUAGGGUGCGAGCGUUGUCCGGAAUUAUUGGGCGUAAAGAGCUCGUAGGCGGUUUGUCGCGUCUGCCGUGAAAGUCCGGGGCUCAACUCCGGAUCUGCGGUGGGUACGGGCAGACUAGAGUGAUGUAGGGGAGACUGGAAUUCCUGGUGUAGCGGUGAAAUGCGCAGAUAUCAGGAGGAACACCGAUGGCGAAGGCAGGUCUCUGGGCAUUAACUGACGCUGAGGAGCGAAAAGCAUGGGGGAGCGAACAGG
rnacentral:rRNA from 1 species